rnacentral:rRNA from 1 species
UACGGAGGGAGCUAGCGUUAUUCGGAAUUACUGGGCGUAAAGCGUACGUAGGCGGCUUUGUAAGUUAGAGGUGAAAGCCCAGGGCUCAACCCUGGAAUUGCCUUUAAGACUGCAUCGCUUGAACAUCGGAGAGGUAAGUGGAAUUCCGAGUGUAGAGGUGAAAUUCGUAGAUAUUCGGAAGAACACCAGUGGCGAAGGCGACUUACUGGACGAUUGUUGACGCUGAGGUGCGAAAGCGUGGGGAGCAAACAGG